AACGAACGCUGGCGGCAUGCCUAACACAUGCAAGUCGAACGAGCCCUUCGGGUCUAGUGGCGCACGGGUGCGUCACGCGUGGGAACCUGCCCUUAGGUUCGGCAUAACUCCCCGAAAGGGGUGCUAAUACCGGAUCAUGUCUUCGGACCAAAGAUUUAUCGCCCUUGGAUGUGCCGGCGUUGGAUUAGCUAGUUGGUAGGGUAAAAGCAUACCAAGGCGUCGAUUCAUAGCUGGUCUGAGAGGAUGAUCAGCGACACUGGGACGAAGACACGGCCCAGAAUCCUACGGGAGGCAGCAGUGGGGAAUAGUGGACAGUGGGCGAAAGGCUGAUCGAGCAAGGCCGCGUGAGUGAUGAAGGCCUGAGGGAUGUAAAGCGCUUUUACCCGGGAUGAUAAUGACAGUACCGGGAGAAUAAGCCCCGGCUAACUCCGUG
rnacentral:rRNA from 1 species